rnacentral:lncRNA from 1 species
AUGUCUCUGGAAAGCCCCUCUUGCUGUAAGGCUGAGCCUCCCGGCUGUGACCCGCGGGGUUUGGGGUUGGGGCGAGCAGUGGGAGCCUGUGGCUGGGGCUGCGGGCAGUGCAGCAAGGCUGCCGUGGGGAUGCGGUACCCGGGGGGUGCCAGCACAUGGGGACCCCUGCAGCGCUGGGGUGCUGAGAGCACCUGGAGAGGGGCUCCGGCAUCGGGCACGGCUCGGGGCAAUGCUUCACCUAACCGCAGCCAAACUGGGAGAAAGCAGCCGGCCUUCCCCGUAUGGUACAGCGGGGUGCCUGGGGUGACCCCCUGCCCUCUCCCCGUGCCCCAGGCUGGCGAACAAGCAGGACGUGGCGGCCGCCCUGCUGCCCUGCGAGCUGAUCGAGCGCCUGGCGCUGGAGCGGCUGGUCAACGAGAACCGCUCGCCCUGCCGCAUCGUGAGUUGCAGGCAGGCUGCCCGACCCUGCUCCCCUUGCCAGGCACCGGGGGGUCGCGGGGGCUGACCGAGCCCCCCCCCCCUUAUCCCCAGGAGCCGUGUGCGGCCGCCGGCCCGGCCCGCAGCACCCUGCAGGGGCUGCGCUGGCUCCUGCGUGCCGCUGCCGAGCGCUCCCCGCUGCUCCCUGCCACCCGCUCCCCGAUGGCCGACCCCAGCCCCCGGACAGCCCGCGGCCGCCUGCCCGCCCGCAGGUGGGUGUGCGGCUCCCUCUGUGCCAUUCCCUCACCCGCACGGGGCUCACCCCCACCCCGGCUGUGCUCUCGCCCCACCAGGGACCCCCCGGCCCGAGGGGAGGACGACCAGGACGGCGUGGGGAAGAAGGGGGAGCACCGGGCCACCCGCCGCCUCCUCCCCCAGGUGAGAGCCCCCCGGCCGCAGCAGGAGUGGGCCGGGCUGGAGGGGGCUGCCAUCGCCUUCCCCUCAUCCCCUCCUCUCCCUGCCCAGGAGGAGAGCGCAAAGGGUCCCGGGAGGAGGAAGAGGAAGGUGAAGAUGAGGAAGAAGGGCCCGGGGCAGCCGAGCCUGGCCGAGGAACCGGACAGAGCAGGAGGAGGGGGUGACAGCCGAGCCAGCUCUGCUGUGGGGCUGCUGGCCCCCAACAGGGUUGGGCAGGAGGAGCCUCUGCCCCCCGGGAUGGCUGCCCCCCACCCAGGUGAGAGGGGGCUGUGA